rnacentral:rRNA from 1 species
UACGGGGGGGGCAAGCGUUGUUCGGAAUUACUGGGCGUAAAGGGCUCGUAGGCGGCCAACUAAGUCAGACGUGAAAUCCCUCGGCUUAACCGGGGAACUGCGUCUGAUACUGGAUGGCUUGAGAUUGGGAGAGGGAUGCGGAAUUCCAGGUGUAGCGGUGAAAUGCGCAGAUAUCAGGAGGAACACCGGCGGCGAAGGCGGCCCUCUGGAUCGUUGCUGACGCUGAGACGCGAAAGCGUGGGGAGCAAACAGG